UCAUUCAACACCUGACAUUCAACUCCUCCACCCUACGCAUCACACUUCGUUGAAGAUAAAUGUGCCGAAAAUGUUUCGGUAUGAGCACGUUGGUAAUUUGACUGGUUGUCGUUGUUGUUUUUCUUCCCUUCUAUCAUUUGCAUGCGACGGGUACAACUUGUCCACUGUACCGGUAAAGGAUUAAUGCACACAUACAUACAAGGAGUUCAGUGUACAAAGGGUAGUAACUGCGCUGAGGUGGGGUGUCCGAUACCGGGACAUAAACAUCAUGUUGGGCAUAAAAUUUUUGGUACAUCAAAUCCACGUUAGGAAAAAACAGACAAAGAGACGAGACUGGUGGUGGUGGAUUAGAGAAUUACCAGGAGGAGGUAGUAGCGAAAGUGUUGCCUUGAAAUACGUGCGAAGCUAAAGGAAUAAAAAAAAAAAACCCUGGCGAAAUGGGUCCAAGGAGGUAAAAAGCAGAAUUUAAACAAAAAAAUAAACAAAACGCAUAGCGAGAGACAAUCAGAAA